rnacentral:rRNA from 1 species
UACGAAGGGGGCUAGCGUUGCUCGGAAUCACUGGGCGUAAAGCGUGCGCAGGCGGCCUCUUAAGUCAGAUGUGAAAUCCCCGGGCUUAACCUGGGAACUGCGUUUGAAACUGGGAGGCUUGAGUGUGGAAGAGGGGGGUGGAAUUCCAGGUGUAGCAGUGAAAUGCGUAGAGAUCUGGAGGAACACCGAUGGCGAAGGCAGCCCCCUGGGCUAACACUGACGCUCAUGCACGAAAGCGUGGGGAGCGAACAGG